UACGUAGGGCGCAAGCGUUGUCCGGAAUUAUUGGGCGUAAAGAGCUCGUAGGCGGUCUGUCACGUCUGCCGUGAAAACCCGAGGCUUAACCUCGUGGCUUGCGGUGGAUACGGGCAGACUAGAGGUAGGUAGGGGGAGAACGGAAUUCCCGGUGUAGCGGUGAAAUGCGCAGAUAUCGGGAGGAACACCGGUGGCGAAGGCGGGUCUCUGGGCCGAUACUGACGCUGAGGAGCGAAAGCGUGGGGAGCAAACAGG
rnacentral:rRNA from 1 species